UAAGGAAUAUUGGACAAUGGGCGGAAGCCUGAUCCAGCCAUCCCGCGUGCAGGAUGAAGGCCCUCUGGGUCGUAAACUGCUUUAGACUGGGAAGAAACCACUUGGUGAGCCAGGUGUUGACGGUACCAGUAGAAUAAGCACCGGCUAACUCCGUGCCAGCAGCCGCGGUAAUACGGAGGGUGCAAGCGUUAUCCGGAAUCACUGGGUUUAAAGGGUGCGUAGGCGGCUUGAUAAGUCAGGGGUGAAAGCCCGCAGCUUAACUGCGGAACUGCCUUUGAUACUGUCGAGCUUGAAAGGGGUUGAGGUCAGCGGAACGUGACAUGUAGCGGUGAAAUGCAUAGAUAUGUCACAGAACACCGAUUGCGAAGGCAGCUGGCUGGACCUACUUUGACGCUGAGGCACGAAAGCGUGGGGAGCGAACAGG
rnacentral:rRNA from 1 species